GAUGAACGCUAGCGGCAGGCCUAAUACAUGCAAGACGAACGGUAAGUUGGGUAGCAAUAUCCAGCCAAGAGUGUCGUAAGGGUGCGUAACACGUAUGCAAUCUGCCCUGUACAGGUGAAUAGCUCGGGGAAACUCGAAUUAACACACCGUAAUAUUGAGAAGUGGCAUCAUUUUUCAAUUAAAACUGGAGGUGGUACAGGAUGAGCAUGCGCAUGAUUAGCUAGUUGGCGGGGUAACAGCCCACCAAGGCAAUGAUCAUUAGGGGAACUGAGAGGUUGAUCCCCCANACUGGCACUGAGAUACGGGCCAGACUCC
rnacentral:rRNA from 1 species